rnacentral:rRNA from 1 species
UGCGCAGGCGGUUUUGUAAGACAGGCGUGAAAUCCCCGGGCUCAACCUGGGAAUUGCGCUUGUGACUGCAAGGCUAGAGUGCGGCAGAGGGGGAUGGAAUUCCGCGUGUAGCAGUGAAAUGCGUAGAUAUGCGGAGGAACACCGAUGGCGAAGGCAAUCCCCUGGGCCUGCACUGACGCUCAUGCACGAAAGCGUGGGGAGCAAACA